rnacentral:rRNA from 1 species
GACGAACGCUGGCGGCGUGCUUAACACGUGCAAGUCGUACGGUAAGGCCCUUUCGGGGGUACACGAGUGGCGAACGGGUGAGUAACACGUGAGUAACCUGCCCACAACUUUGGGAUAACGCUAGGAAACUGGUGCUAAUACUGGAUAUGUGCUCCUGCUGCAUGGUGGGGGUUGGAAAGCUCCGGCGGUUGUGGAUGGACUCGCGGCCUAUCAGCUUGUUGGUGGGGUAGUGGCCUACCAAGGCGGCGACGGGUAGCCGGCCUGAGAGGGUGACCGGCCAAAUUGGGACUGAGAUACGGCCCAGACUCCUACGGGAGGCAGCAGUGGGGAAUAUUGCACAAUGGGCGCAAGCCUGAUGCAGCAACGCCGCGUGCGGGAUGACGGCCUUCGGGUUGUAAACCGCUUUCAGCAGGGACGAAGCUUUUUGUGACGGUACCUGCAGAAGAAGCACCGGCUAACUACGUG